rfam:Halanaeroarchaeum sulfurireducens strain HSR2, complete genome.
GGGUUCGUGGUCUAGUUGGUUAUGACGCGUCCCUUACAAGGACGAGGGCGGCGGUUCGAAUCCGCCCGAACCCA